UUUCCGUAGGUGGACUUGCGGAAGGAUCAUUGUCGAAACCUGCAAAGACAGAAAGACCCGUGGACCGGUGAGAAAUUGCUCGGGGGACAUGCCUUGGGGCUCUCCUCCCAGAGUCCCGUAGCCAAGGUCGCGGCCCAAAUCCGUGCCCUUUGCUGCGGGCGAAAACUAACAAAAUCCGGGCGCGAGUCGCGCCAAGGAAACUGAAGGAAAGAUGUGCUCCCCUCGUCCCGGAAACGGUGCGCGGGGGGACGACAUUGUCGUUAUCGUAUUCGAAACGACUCUCGGCAACGGAUAUCUCGGCUCUCGCAUCGAUGAAGAACGUAGCGAAAUGCGAUACUUGGUGUGAAUUGCAGAAUCCCGUGAACCAUCGAGUUUUUGAACGCAAGUUGCGCCCGAAGCCAUUACGGUGAGGGCACGCCUGCCUGGGUGUCACGAAAAGUCGUCAAACAUCCCUCCCUCGCCCCUCACACGAGCGGGAGUAGGGUUGGGAUGGCGGAGAUUGGCCUCCCGUGCGCUCGUGCGAGCGGUUGGCCGAAAAGUCAGGUCUGCCCGCAAGGCGGCCACGACACACGGUGGUUGAAAGCGCACGCUCUCCUCGAACACCGUCGUAGGCUAGCCUGGUUUAUCGGGAGCCAAAGGACCCCGACGCGGAGCGUCAUCACGAAGCGA
rnacentral:rRNA from 1 species